UCCGGUUUUAUUGGGUUUAAAGGGAGCGUAGGCCGGGGAUUAAGUGUGUUGUGAAAUGUAGGCGCUCAACGUCUGAUGUGCAGCGCAUACUGGUUCCCUUGAGUACGCGCAACGCCGGCGGAAUUCGUCGUGUAGCGGUGAAAUGCUUAGAUAUGACGAAGAACCCCGAUUGCGAAGGCAGCCGGCGGGAGCGCAACUGACGCUGAAGCUCGAAGGUGCGGGUAUCGAACAGGAUUAGAUACCCUGGUAGUCCGCACGGUAAACGAUGGAUGCCCGCUCUCGGCGCCUGGCGCCGGGGGCCAAGCGAAAGCGUUAAGCAUCCCACCUGGGGAGUACGCCGGCAACGGGUGAAACUCAAAGGAAUUGACGG
rnacentral:rRNA from 1 species